AUAGGUAUAACAGUGUAGUAGUGGAUCUGAAGGGUCUGGAUAGGUAUAAACAGUGUAGUGGUAGAUCUGAAGGGUCUGGAUAGGUAUAAACAGUGUAGUGGUAGAUCUGAAGGGUCUGGAUAGGUAUAAACAGUGUAGUGGUAGAUCUGAAGGGUCUGGAUAGGUAUAAACAGUGUAGUGGUAGAUCUGAAGGGUCUGGAUAGGUAUAAACAGUGUAGUGGUGUAUCUGAAGGGUCUGGAUAGGUAUAAACAGUGUAGUGGUAGAUCUGAAGGGUCUGGAUAGGUAUAAACAGUGUAGUGGUAGAUCUGAAGGGUCUGGAUAGGUAUAAACAGUGUAGUGGUGUAUCUGAAGGGUCUGGAUAGGUAUAAACAGUGUAGUGGUAGAUCUGAAGGGUCUGGAUAGGUAUAAACAGUGUAGUGGUAGAUCUGAAGGGUCUGGAUAGGUAUAAACAGUGUAGUGGUAGAUCUGAAGGGUCUGGAUAGGUAUAAACAGUGUAGUGGUGUAUCUGAAGGGUCUGGAUAGGUAUAAACAGUGUAGUGGUAGAUCUGAAGGGUCUGGAUAGGUAUAAACAGUGUAGUGGUGGAUCUGAAGGGUCUGGAUAGGUAUAAACAGUGUAGUGGUGUAUCUGAAGGGUCUGGAUAGGUAUAAACAGUGUAGUGGUAGAUCUGAAGGGUCUGGAUAGGUAUAAACAGUGUAGUGGUGUAUCUGAAGGGUCUGGAUAGGUAUAAACAGUGUAGUGGUAGAUCUGAAGGGUCUGGAUAGGUAUAAACAGUGUAGUGGUGUAUCUGAAGGGUCUGGAUAGGUAUAAACAGUGUAGUGGUAGAUCUGAAGGGUCUGGAUAGGUAUAAACAGUGUAGUGGUGUAUCUGAAGGGUCUGGAUAGGUAUAAACAGUGUAGUGGUAGAUCUGAAGGGUCUGGAUAGGUAUAAACAGUGUAGUGGUGUAUCUGAAGGGUCUGGAUAGGUAUAAACAGUGUAGUGGUAGAUCUGAAGGGUCUGGAUAGGUAUAAACAGUGUAGUGGUAGAUCUGAAGGGUCUGGAUAGGUAUAAACAGUGUAGUGGUAGAUCUGAAGGGUCUGGAUAGGUAUAAACAGUGUAGUGGUAGAUCUGAAGGGUCUGGAUAGGUAUAAACAGUGUAGUGGUGGAUCUGAAGGGUCUGGAUAGGUAUAAACAGUGUAGUGGUAGAUCUGAAGGGUCUGGAUAGGUAUAAACAGUGUAGUGGUAGAUCUGAAGGGUCUGGAUAGGUAUAAACAGUGUAGUGGUGUAUCUGAAGGGUCUGGAUAGGUAUAAACAGUGUAGUGGUAGAUCUGAAGGGUCUGGAUAGGUAUAAACAGUGUAGUGGUAGAUCUGAAGGGUCUGGAUAGGUAUAAACAGUGUAGUGGUAGAUCUGAAGGGUCUGGAUAGGUAUAAACAGUGUAGUGGUAGAUCUGAAGGGUCUGGAUAGGUAUAAACAGUGUAGUGGUAGAUCUGAAGGGUCUGGAUAGGUAUAAACAGUGUAGUGGUAGAUCUGAAGGGUCUGGAUAGGUAUAAACAGUGUAGUGGUAGAUCUGAAGGGUCUGGAUAGGUAUAAACA